UACAGAGGGUGCGAGCGUUGUUCGGAAUUAUUGGGCGUAAAGCGCGUGUAGGCGGGAUCGUAUGUCGGGUGUGAAAGCCCUCAGCUCAACUGAGGAAGUGCGCCCGAAACUGCGGUUCUUGAGUGUCGGAGAGGGUGGCGGAAUUCCCGGUGUAGAGGUGAAAUUCGUAGAUAUCGGGAGGAACACCAGUAGCGAAGGCGGCCACCUGGACGAACACUGACGCUGAGACGCGACAGCAUGGGGAGCGAACGGG
rnacentral:rRNA from 1 species